UUGUGCUUGCACGUGCUGUGUGUGGCUUGCCCUGCAGUCACCUGGAGAGCUCCAGUGGGAGCUGGAGUUAAUUCCUGUCAGUUCUCCAGAGGUCUAUCACAGAAGCAGCUGAGUUUCCAUGUCAGCUCCCUCUGUGAAGGAGCUGCCCUGUGGGCUUUGAGCCAGAAAAUCUGAGGGUAGAAUCUUAGAACGUCCUAGGCUGGAAGACACCCACAGGGAUCAUGGAGUCCAACUCCUGGCCCUGCAGAGGACAACCCCACCAAUGCCAACCAUCCGCCUGUCAGCCCUGUCCAAACUGCUUGAGCUCUUGUCAAGCUCGGAGCUGUGACGGCUUUUCUGGGGAGCCUCUUCCAGUGCGUGGGAGACCUUCCUCUGGGAGAGGAGCCUUUUCUUAAUGUCCAGCCUAAACCUGCCCUGACACAGCUGCGGGUGCUCUCUCCAGUCCUGUCACUGGUCACCAAGGGCACAGCUGGACUGGGCAGCUUUUGGUGUGAUGACCCUGCCCUCCAUCGGGAUGCCCCUGCUGCUGUGGUACUCGAGCAAGAGGAAGUACGACACCCCCAAGACCAAAAAGAACUGAGCAGAGUCAAAUGCCACCAGCAGCCCAGAGCUCGGGAAAGGAGAACCCUGAAGCCCCAAGAACAGGGCUGGGUCGGGAUGGCACCGUCCCCUGCGAGGUGCUGCCUGGGCCGUGCUUCAGCUCUCGGGGCAAAGGAUUUAGGGGCUGCAGCAGCAGACGAGGUGUCCUCUGUGUUCUAAAGGAGGAACAAGCAAACAGAGAAAAGAACAGCCAAAAGUCCCAAACUGCCUUGUCCGGCCCCUUUGGAAGGGGAACCCCUCUCUUUGCAGCCACAGCAAUACAAGCAGCCUGUUAGUGCCCAGAGGGGCCCUA